AGUAUAAAAAGAUCGACAGGAAACAGUGAGUAACAACAAUUCAUGUGGCAUUCAAACUUUGUAAACGAAUAAGUAGCUUCGUUUUCUUAUUUGAAUUACAUUUGAAAUUGCAUAGUAUAUUUGAUCGAAAUAGCUUUCCCUCCUGACUGUUGUUCAGUUGUUAUCGACUGAGUACAACGCGCUGCACGUGUGCUGGGUUACGAACGUAUAGCACUAAUAUAGUUUGUGAAAAUCUAUUAAGUAUAGUGCGUAGUAGUUCUUCAUCAUAUUUAAAUAAUUUAUUUUUAACUUGAAACUUAAUUAAAUUCGUUUUUUCUUUUUGUAAAACCCUCUGCCAAGGCUUAAAAAAGCUUCAAAGUUUCAUGACAACCGAAUGUCAUUGCAUGUUGCAAACUUCAAUUGAGUGGUCGUGAUGAAGAGAUGAGGGUGCAAUGCGGUGUUUCCGCGGAAACAGAGGGCUAGCAUUAUGACUCCAAUAAAAUUUAAAUAAAACUUUUAAAAAUAUGCUUGUGAGUGAUCUUAUAUAGUGCUGGUGUUAAUAAAAUAAUUUCCAUCCUUACAAUUUUUCAAUAUAUUAAAUUACUAAGUAACGUGAUGUUUCGACGUGUUAAUUUUUAUUCAAUAUGUUUCGCAUUCGGUCUCAGUGUUCUUCUGAUUCUUGCUGGAAGUCGAUAUACAGAUAACACAAAUUACCGUCCUAUAUCCGAGAGUCGAAGGAAUAUAAAGAAUUUUUUUAAAGUUGAUGAUGGAGAGGAUACUGAAUCACAGCCGGUACCUACGAAUUCUUACGAUGGAACACCGAAUAUAGAAAAAAUAUUAGAAAAAACACGAGCUAAAAUUCAAUUUGAAUUGUGGAACUAUAACUUUACUUAUUCUGGAGUUAAAAAAUUAGAUGACUUAAUUAUAGAAACCGGUGGUCGUCCAUUGAGAAGUAUCAUAAUAUCUUCUUGGAGAUCUGGUUCUACAUUCCUGGGUGAGGUGAUUAAUGCUAUUCCUGGUACAUAUUACCAUUAUGAACCUUUUCUGAAUUAUGGCAUUAUACAAAUCAGAGGAUCUCCGCUAGCAGAAACCGUUUUGAAUUCAAUAAAAGACAUGCUCAAGUGUAACUUUGAAGAGAUGGAUGAUUUUUUAGAUUACGGACGAGGACAUAACCAUCAGUUCAGUCAUAACACCAGAUUAUGGGACCAUUGUAAAUAUAAGAAGGAACUUUGUUUUGAUUCUGAUUUUAUGUCAAAAUUUUGCAAAUUAUUUCCAUUUCAAAGUAUGAAAGUUGUUCGCCUUAGAUUGCGUCUUGUUCAGGAAUUGUUGGAAGAUAAAGAGCUUAAUGCAAAAGUUGUGUUUUUAAUCCGAGAUCCUCGUGGUGUCCUACAGUCAAGAUUGCAUCGUGAUUUCUGUCACCCUUCACCAGAUUGUUCGAAUCCUGAGCUCCUCUGUGCAGACAUGAUAAGUGAUUAUGUGGCUGCGAGCCGAUUGCUCAAGCUUUACCCUGAUAAACUUAUGGUGCUACGCUAUGAAGACUUGGCCCUGAAUCUAAAUAGUACCACGCACAAAUUAUUAAAGUUCCUAAGACUGAGUCACAUGCAAGCUGUUGAUGAGUAUCUAAACUCUCACACCAACACAGAAGUGAGCGGAGUAAGCUCCACUUUUAGAGUAUCCCGUGAAGUGCCUUUUCGGUGGAAGAAUAUAUUGGAUUUUGAAUAUGCUGAUCAAAUACAGAUGGCGUGUAAAGAAGCCAUGAAUUUAUGGGGUUAUCGUAUGGCUCACAACGCCACCCAUAUGACAAGCAAAGAAUUUGAUCCUUUAGAAACAUAUACGAUAACUCAGUGAUGGAAUCUACGUAUUUCGAGUGGCGAUGCUUUCUUGUCUACAUUAAUUGUUGCUGGAUACACUAUAAGUAAAAUGGCGUUACAUAUCAUUCAACAAUCCACAAGCGACUAUCUACUGAAUGAAUGCAAUAAAGGUACACGGAACACACAUAAUCAUUUACAAAACGAGCAUUUUAUCGUAUUACAUUUUAUUUUAUUUAAGAAUAUUUUUAAAGCAUUUUAAUUCGAUCAAAUAACUCGCAUUAAAUGCAUCGAAUAUUUUUGAUAAGAUCAUGUACUUGUUUAGUUGAUGUAAGUUUUAAAAUUAUUGUGUUUAAAUCGAAAUAUUUUCCAUUCGAAUUCUUCCACGACUUCUCUCUGUACCGUAACGCAGAAAAAAGAAAAUAAGGAAAAGUUAUGAAAAACGAAAUCAAGAUCUUUCUGGAACCGAGUGAGUUUGCGCCCAACACACUGUGGGUGCGUUGUAAUAUCGUUAUUGUAAUGAUGGACCAUUUGCGAGAUUCGAAUUGUUUGUUUUAAAAAAAAUAUAUAUAUAUAUACAUAUAUAUGAAUUCUUCAAGCAACUCGAAACUCGAUCAUCUGAUGCGUUUAGCUUAGGCGUCUAGCACUCACGGAAUUGAAAAUGUUGAUGCUUCCUUCAUAGACACGACUAGGAUAGAAGUGCAUUAUUUUUAAAUAGUAAGAAUAUAAUAAUUUAAGUGAACGUAUAUAAUAUAUUAAUUAUUAAAAAGCGUGCUGAUUGAAAUUUGCAGUUGAAAAUCUAGGGAUCGCUCAAUAUGUUGGUCUCGAUAGAGGCUUUAGAUAAAUGUAGAUAAAAAUCAAAAACACCAAUAUACAGUGAGAUAUACAAUAUUACUUUGGAACAUAAACAAACAGUGAUUUUAAACUUUAAAAAUAAACUUAUACAGUCGUAAUUCCAAUGAACUUGAAUUGCAAUACCUACUCACUACAUUGGAUUAUGUGUCGUAACACAACGUAAUGAGUAAGUAUUCUAAUUGGAUAAUAUAAUUGGAUUGGAAAGAUAAAUGUAGAUAAAAAUCAAAAACACCAAUAUAAAGUGAGAUAAACAAUAUUACUUUGGAAUAACAAUAAACGAACAGUGAUUUUAAACUUUAAAAAUUAACGUAUACGGUCGUAAUUCCAGUGAACGUGAAUUGCAAUAACUGGUCGCUACAUUGGAUUUUGUGUCAUAACGCAAUGUAAUAAGUAAGUCUUUUAAUUGGAAUUUACUUAGGAUGUGUACACGAUCUCCGUCCAAGUACUUCAGUAACAAUAAUACCGACGAGUACACGAAAAGUACACUACAUAAAAUAACGUUCUUUUUUCUUACUUAAUCUAGUGACCUGGAGGGGUCAUACUAGAUUAACCGAACGAAGAAUAACGAAAGGAAUUGCGUAUAUUUACUAGUCCUAUUGGUGAUUUUUAAAUAAUGUUUAAAUGCUUCGCGCAUCCAACGAUGGGUGAACUCUUUUGUGAAAUUCAUUACGUUAUUAGCCCACUGAGUUUCUCGCCGGAUCUUCUCAGUGAGUCGCGUUUCCGAUCCGGUGGUAGAUUCUGCGAAGCACUGCUCUUGCUAGGGUCAGUGUUAGCAACUCUCCGGUUUGAGCCCCGUGAGCUCACCUACAAACGUUAGGGUGAAGCUGAAAUAGCCUCUAGAAGGCUAUCAGCUUAGGUAGGGAAAAAUAAAUUACCAUACUGAAACUAUUUAUGUAUUUUUAUAUAUAUUUAUUGCCCUUGUAGGCAGACGAGCAUAUGGCCCACCUGAUGGUGAGUGGUUACCGUCGCCCAUGGACUUCAGCAAUGCCAGGGGCAGAGCCAAGCCGCUGCCUACAAAAUGAUAUUAUAUGAUUAUAAUUCGAAGAUUCUUAUCAACGAUUCGCAUAUCGAAGUUUGAAAAGCUAUUUUGUUUGAGCGACAUUUCUGAAACUUUACAACAGAGCCAUUUAAAGUUUGAUUUAUGAUUAUGUGUGUUAAAUGGCGCCUAUUAAGUACGAAAUAAAUGAAUCAGAUGCGAAUGAUUAUAGAGCGCGAAUUAAAAAAAACACAAAUUAACUAUACAUCGACCAUCAAUGAAACACAAGACGCGCAUCAAAUGACCUUGAAUAAAUAAAAAUGUCACACAAAUCCGGUUGCGUAGUAAACCUUUAAAACGGUUUAAAUGACUAAUAUAAUUUUUUGCAAUCGAGUUGAACGAGCCAAACGGAUGGAUAUUGUUUAAUUUAAAUUUAUUUAUGAGCUCUCAUGUCGCGUCUCAAACUUUAAUAGCGAGUUCUCUUUUUCUUUCGCACGAGAGAUCUUCCUAACUCAUUUCUAGUCAUCGCGUGUCUUGUCUUCUCCUUAGCGGAUAUGUUGAACAAUAAUCAGUUAUUUGCAUUCUAGCUAAAAAUAUAUUUGCUUAAAUGCUUGGUUUAAAAAAAUAGAUACAUUGUGUAAAUGAUACUAAUGACAUACAUCCUAAAAUAGUCUUCAAUUGAAAUGACACUGGAAUCAACAAUUAACGACACUACUAUCAUCAGAAAUUUAGAAAAAACAAAUAUUUCAAGAAAACUUCCGCCCAUUGCCAAGCUUUGGGCCAAUUUAAAAAAGAAAACUAUAUAGAUAGGUUUUUUUUAGGUGUAUAGACACCUCUAGAAAACUAAGAAUAUUUUCUCGCGAAUUAUCUACGAUUAGCUAUAACGUUUAUAUUCCACAAGAUUAGAAAAACAUAGCUACAAUCUUUGACAGCUGUCACAAUAAAUACAGUGUGUUUAAGUACAGUUUAUAAAUCAUAGAAAAAAAACUCUGCCUUAGUCUUUAUUAUUUAUGUUAAAGACAUUUUCGUUUUCUAUUCUAAGUGAACAAAAUUAAGAUUAUCAUCUAUCAUGAUUAUCGGACAAUUCAUUUAAUUUAUUGUUUCACAAAAGAGUUUACCAUUUUGAUUAAUUCUAAAUUCGAAAACGAAUUAGCGUGCUCACAUAUCAUAACGACAAAUACGUGUUACUAGUACACAUAUCAGGUAAAUUAUCAGCGGACGCGAAGCUACAACACUAGUUAUAUUUUACGCCGUGUUCCGUACAUCGGGUUUACUUCGGUGAAAUUACUACAAUAAAUAAGAGGCUUACAUUUUUUAGUAUUAUAAGGAGACCUCGCUGAAAGAGGAUAAAAAAAGUUUUAUUAUUAGAAUCGUGUGGAACAUUAUAACGUAAUGUAAAUUAACCGCUACGAAUUAUAAGAUACGAUAAAAUCAUACGCAAUUACGUUCAUCGAAAUAUCGCACAAAUUGUAGGCUAAUUUUAGCUAUUUGUAGGUUUUUUCGAGUAAAAAGAUAUGCCACGUCAAUAUGGGGAAAAAAUGUAAAAAAAAAGUAAAAAAAAAAAGGUAUAAAUAUCAUUAUUUUCAGCAUUAACCGAAUAACUUUUACACAAAAUAAAACUUUUUUUUUACUUUCACAAUAAAUUUUAUGAAAGCAUUGCUUUGAAAAAAAAAACAUUUGAAAAAUGAAUAUUAUGCAAAUAUCUCUCGUAUUGGCGUGUAUUAGCUUUAGUUGUGUCACGGGACAUUGCUACUUUAUUGGUAGCGAUGAGAAUGGUAAAUACGUGAAAGUAAUAUUGAAAGUCGGACGUUUUUUAGGUGAGUGAUCAUUAAGUGCACUUGAUAUAAUAUGUUAGUGAGCAUUUUAGUGAGAGGACUUUGAUCAAAUCAAUACACAAGUCAUGAUCAUUUUAACGUUUAUUGAGGAAUUGAGAUCGGUGAUUCAUUGAAACGGAAUCAAGUUGUCGAAAACGAGGUGAGUGAUAUUUUACAUGGUACACACAAAAUGAUGAAGGAACAGCAAUAAAAAUAAACAAUUGUUUAUAAAAUCGAGAAAAAUCCCGAUCUUAUAUUAAUGUAUUAAUCAAUUUCAAAUCAAUUUCAUCUUGUAACGGCUUUUCGUUGUUCACCAUAAAAAGUAUUUUUUAUUUAAAAAAAAAGCUAUAUAUGUACUCUAUAAGUAUAUGCAUAUAAUUAUAUACGCAUGUAAGAAGUUACACUUCUCGGGUGCAAUUAAAUUAUCAAACAAAGAAUAUUGACAGAAUCUAUUUAUUUGCUUAUAUAAAAUUUUACUCGUAAAUAAUAGUUGCAUAAAUAUAGCCUCUUAUCUUGAUACAAGACUUUUAUAAUGAAAUAAAUGAGUUAAGUCGUCGCACACUAAAAAUACAAAGAUCUCAUUCUAUCACAUGCGCCAAUAGAAGUGUAACUUCAAAUUUAUACUGAUUUCUCAGUUUAAUUUUUGACUAAAAAUCAAUUAAAACAAAACAAUAAGGCUGUUAUUAACGACUUCCCUUUGAGUUAUUCGAUAAAUCAUAUCAAUCAACAAAAUGUGGUUCGGUCUAUUACUGUCGCUAUGACAACGAAUGAGAUAGUGUUAAUUUUUUUUAUAAUCUGUCUAAGAAAUGUUUAUCAUUAAAUCUCUUAUAGGUACAUACUUAAAGUAGAUGGUAUUGCGGUGACACAAGUGCAAAAAUCCGCUAUCGAAUAAAAUCCAAUGCUAAUGAACUAUCAAAUGUCAAAUAGCCUAAACGUAUUGUCCCAUUUGCUCCCAUUCAUUUUCAAGGUGGGUGGCGCAUUUAAGUUGUAGAUAUCUAUGGGCUCCAGUAACCACUUAACACCAGGUGGGCUGUGAGCUCGUCCUUCCAUCUAAGCAAUAAAAAAAAACCCAUGCAAUUAAAUCCUAACUUUUUUGUUUGUAUUUUUUUGUUGUUAAUAUCAAUACCAUCCUAUUCGUGUGUAGAUUUUUUCGUGGUAUGUAGUUGUUGUAAUGAAUACGGCCCAUAAAAAAAAACCAAAACAAUAUGGAUGUCCAUUGACAUUAUAAUUUUUCUUAAUAGAAGUUUGAUUGACAUCCCAUUUAUUAAAACAGUCUGAGCGAAUCUCCUAAUUAAAAAAAAAAAUUUUGAAGAAAUAAUUUAGAUUGUCCAUAAAAUAUCGGAGCUACAAAUGUUUAAAGAGUUACAAUAGCAUUUCGCCAUUCUGUUUUCUGGGAAACGAAUGCUAGCACAAAGAUAUUAUUUUGUAUGACACGAAAACUGUGACGUCAUUAGUGGCUAUGCAAAUCAUAGCUUGGUGAAUCUUUCAUUGUAAUAAAAAUAGAAUCAGAUAGCAUGCCUUACUUUGAAUGGGGUGUGCUAUAAGUGCACUAAGCUUAUAAGAAUCUCGUUUAAGUCUUGACUGAAAUAUUAAAGUAAACAAAUUGAAUAAAGUUCCUAUAAAUAUGAAUCUAGUUACUCGUCGGGCCUAUGGUUGCACUUGUGUCCACAAUAUACGCUUAAAAUAAAACUAAGAGUCAAUGAAACGCCAUCAAUUACUAAUUAAUUAAUAAUGUAACAUGCUUCCUGAUAGAUCUGACAAUAUAUAAAAAUUUAAUAUAAUCAUUAAGGCAUAAAAUUUGUAUUGCAUGUAAGAAAUAUACGUUAUUUAUAAAUAAGAUUACUAGUGGGCUGGUUUGGAAACCCAGGUAGAUUUUUGAUCAUAUCGUUAGCAUAUCAUAAUUAUACACUGUAUUAUUUAAAAAAAUAACAAUAUUUAUUAUAUUUUCAAUAUGUUUAAGAAUAGAACGAAGUGUGCAUACAAGAACGUGUGCAAUAUAAUUUAUAACGUGAAAAUUAUAUGAUUGAAUAAGACGAGAUAAAACUAUAACGGUUGUAUUGUAAUAAAGUUUAAAUAUCGCUAUCAAAGACACCACGAUUAGAUAAGAUAACGUAAUUAAAUAAAAUUUUCUUUGUGAUUAGCAACACUGCCGAUCAUUAAUUAGCUUGGCAAUACUAAACUGUGACUGAUGCGAAUACAUAUUAUUUUAAUUACAGAAACUUAAAAAAAACCUUGUCUUUUAAAUGUUGCCAGUUAAUAAUUAAACUUGUAUGCACACAUUUUUACAACCAACUUAAUUUUUAAUUUAUACGUAUUUAAUGUUUCGAAUACAUUAUUUCAUUCGAAUAAAGUGUUUUUCUUUGUAUUAUUAUAUUUUAACUCUUUUGCAUUUAGAUUUUAUCAUUUAAGCAGUAGACAGAACAUCGUUGAUUUGUGACGUUGUUUUGUGAUGCAUAAUAUCAUAAAUAGUUAAUAAGUUUCUAUUCGUAUAUAUGGCGACGGUUUUCUCUCGUUGUCGAAAUUUGAAUUUUAAAUGAAACUUAUAAGUGAACUUGUCUCGUUUUAGUCAUUAAAAAAAUUAAAAAAUAAAAAUACUCGAAAUUGAAAUUACAAAACUACUUUAUUUUUCUGUAAUUUAAGUUCUAUUUUAGUUGAUUUGACGUUAUAUAAAAUGUUUUAUUUUAAUUUGACGCAGUUUGUAAGACGAGAAGGAAUCAUGAUCGUUUCUAAUUUGUGAAUGUAGCCCUUAAAUGUAAGACAUAAAGUGCAUUAUUCAAAAUCGUAAGCAAUAAAACGUAAUUACGUAUUCUGGCCGAUACUCAAAGAAAGAGGUAGAAUUUAAGGGUAGCCUUAUUAGACUAAGAGUUGUGAAUUGAACAAAAAAAAAAUUUUAAAAGUUUUUAUUAAAUACGUAGGAUGUAUUCGCACGGCCGGCGUUAUUACUGCAAAAUAAUGUAUGUAUCUAUUAUCUUUUAUUUAAAGUUAAUAAAGUUACAAAAAGAG